rnacentral:tRNA from 1 species
GGGAAUGUGGCUUAGUGGUAGAGUGCUUGCCUAGCAUGCAUGAAGCCUUGGAUUCCAUUCCUC